UGGGGAAUAUUGCACAAUGGGGGAAACCCUGAUGCAGCGACGCCGCGUGAGCGAUGAAGGCUUUCGAGUCGUAAAGCUCUGUCCUAUGGGAAGAUAAUGACGGUACCAUAGAAGAAAGCCCCGGCUAAUUACGUGCCAGCAGCCGCGGUAAUACGUAAGGGGCGAGCGUUGUCCGGAAUUAUUGGGCGUAAAGAGUGCGUAGGCGGCAAAUUAAGUCAGAUGUGAAAACUAAGGGCUCAACCCAUAGAUUGCAUCUGAAACUGAUAUGCUUGGGUGAAGGGGAAGGAAGUGGAAUUUCUAGUGGGAGCGGGGAAUGCAUAGGAAUUAGGAGGGAAACCCGUUGCCGAAGCGGCUUUCCGGACUUUUUAAUACGCUCAGGUACGAAAGGCUGGGGGGCAAACAAG
rnacentral:rRNA from 1 species